UACAGAGGGGGCCAGCGUUAUUCGGAAUUAUUGGGCGUAAAGGGCGCGUAGGCGGCCACCGCAAGUCGGUUGUGAAAUCUCUGGGCUUAACCCAGAAAGGUCAACCGAUACUGCGGGGCUAGAGUGCAGAAGGGGCAACUGGAAUUCUCGGUGUAGCGGUGAAAUGCGUAGAUAUCGAGAGGAACACCUGCGGCGAAGGCGGGUUGCUGGGCUGACACUGACGCUGAAGCGCGAAAGCUAGGGGAGCGAACGGG
rnacentral:rRNA from 1 species